UUACCCGGAGAGACAGCAGAAUGAAGGUCAAGCUGAAGACUUUNCCAGACAAGNUGAGAGGUGGUGCAUGCCCGUCGCCAGCUCGUGCCGUGAGAUGUCCUGUUAAGUCAGGUAACGAGCGAGAUCCCUGCCACUAGUUGCUAUCAUUAUUCUCAGGAAUAGUGGGGCGAAUUAGUGGGACUGCCGUUGUUAAAACGGAGGAAGGAAGGGGCUACGGCAGGUCAGUAUGCCCCGAAACUCUGAGGCCACACGCGGGCUGCAAUGGUAGUGACAAUGAGUUCCAAACUCGAAAGAGAGUGGCAAUCUCUAAACGCUACCACAGUUAUGACUGAGGGCUGUAACUCGCCCUCACGAAUAUGGAAUCCCUAGUAACCGCGUGUCAUUACCGCGCGGUGAAUACGUCCCUGCUCCUUGCACACACCGCCCGUCGUUUCAUCGAAGUUUGCUUUAGCGA
rnacentral:rRNA from 1 species